UGCUUAAAACUUCGCCUGCUACCACAGCA
rnacentral:piRNA from 1 species